UACGGGGGGGGCAAGCGUUGUUCGGAAUUACUGGGCGUAAAGGGCGCGUAGGCGGCCUGCUAAGUCGAACGUGAAAUCCCUGGGCUCAACCCAGGAACUGCGUCCGAUACUGGUUGGCUUGAAUCCGGGAGAGGGACGUGGAACUCCAGGUGUAGCGGUGAAAUGCGUAGAUAUGCGGAGGAACACCGAUGGCGAAGGCAAUCCCCUGGGCCUGCACUGACGCUCAUGCACGAAAGCGUGGGGAGCAAACAGG
rnacentral:rRNA from 1 species